UACGAAGGGGGCUAGCGUUGCUCGGAAUCACUGGGCGUAAAGGGUGCGUAGGCGGCUUUUUAAGUCAGGGGUGAAAUCCUGGAGCUCAACUCCAGAACUGCCUUUGAUACUGGAGAGCUUGAGUGCGGGAGAGGUGAGUGGAACUGCGAGUGUAGAGGUGAAAUUCGUAGAUAUUCGGAAGAACACCAGUGGCGAAGGCGGCUCACUGGCCCGAUACUGACGCUGAGGCACGAAAGCGUGGGGAGCAAACAGG
rnacentral:rRNA from 1 species